rnacentral:siRNA from 1 species
ACAAAGAUGUAGUGGGCCAAAAUA